rnacentral:rRNA from 1 species
AGCCCUUGACAUCCCGGUCGCGGUUACCAGAAAUGGUUUCCUUCAGUUCGGCUGGACCGGUGACAGGUGCUGCAUGGCUGUCGUCAGCUCGUGUCGUGAGAUGUUGGGUUAAGUCCCGCAACGAGCGCAACCCUCGCCCUUAGUUGCCAUCAUUCAGUUGGGCACUCUAAGGGGACUGCCGGUGAUAAGCCGAGAGGAAGGUGGGGAUGACGUCAAGUCCUCAUGGCCCUUACGGGCUGGGCUACA